UACGUAGGGACCGAGCGUUGUCCGGAAUCAUUGGGCGUAAAGCGCACGUAGGCGGAUUGUUAAGUCGGGGGUGAAAUCCUGAGGCUCAACCUCAGAACUGCCUUCGAUACUGGCAAUCUCGAGUCCGGAAGAGGUUGGUGGAACAGCUAGUGUAGAGGUGAAAUUCGUAGAUAUUAGCUAGAACACCAGUGGCGAAGGCGGCCAACUGGUCCGGUACUGACGCUGAGGUGCGAAAGCGUGGGGAGCAAACAGG
rnacentral:rRNA from 1 species